AUGCACUGCUCUAUUUUGCAGCCACGCUGCAUUGCACCGACCUGUCCUGCAAUGCACAGCCCUGUUUUGCAGCCACGCUGCAAUGCACAAAACCAUUCUGCAACGCACAGCCCUACUUUGCAGCCACGCUGCGAUGCAUGGACACGUCCUGCAAUGCACAAAUCUAUCCUGCAACGAACAGAUCAACCCUGCAAUGCACGGACCCAUCCUACAACUCCACUGCAGUGCACAGACCCAUCCUGCAAUGCACAACCCUACUUUGCAGCUGCACUACAGUGCACCCACCCAUCCUGUAAUGCAUGGACUGAUCCUGCAAUACAUGGACCCGUCCUGCAAACACCCUGCAAUGCACAGACCUGUCGUGUAAUGCAUGGACCCACCCUGCAACUACCCUGCAAUGCACAGACCUGUCGUGCAAUGCACAGACCCAUCUUGCAAUGCACGGACCCAACCUCCAAUGCACGGACCCAUCCUGCAACCACGCUGCAAUGCAUGGACCCGUCAUGCAAUGCACAGACCCAUCUUGCAAUGCAUGGACCCAUCCUGCAAUGCAUAGCUCCAUUCUGCAACCACCCUGCAAGGACCAACCCUGCAGCCAUCCUGCAAUGCACGGACCCACCCUGCAAUGCACAGACCCAUCCUGUAGUGCACGGACCCAUCCUGCAACCACCCUGCAUUGCACGGACCAAACCUGCAAUGCAUGGACCCAACCUGCAAUGCACAGACCCAUCCUGCAAUGCACGGACCCACCCUGCAAUGCACAGACCCAUCUUGCAACACAUGGACCCAUCCUGCAACCACCCUGCAAUGCAUGGACCCAACCUGCAAUGCACAGACCUAUCCUGCAAUGCACGGACCCACCCUGCAAUGCACGGACCCAUCCUACAAUGCACAGACCCAUCUUGCAACACAUGGACCCAUCCUGCAACCACCCUGCAAUACACAGACCAAACCUGCAAUGCAUGGACCCAACCUGCAACCACCGUGCAAUGUACGGAGCCAUCUUGCAAUACAUGGACCCAACCUCCAACCACCCUGCAAUGCACAGACCAAACCUGCAAUGCAUGGACCCAUCCUGCAACCAUCCUGCAAUGCACGGACCUUUCGUGCAAUGCAUGGACCCAUCUUGCAACACAUGGACCCAUCCUGCAACCACCCUGCAAUGCACGGACCCAUCUUGCAAUGCAUGGACCUACCCCGCCAUGCAUGGACCCAUCCUGCAACCAUCCUGCAAUGCACUGA
rnacentral:lncRNA from 1 species